CUCGAUGGACAUGAGUUUGAGCAAGCUCCAAGAGUUGGUGAUGGACAGGGAGGCCUGGCGUGCUGCAGUCCACGGGGUUGCAAAGAGUCGGAUACAACUGAGCGACUGAACUGAAGUGAACUGAUUCAGCCCAGGGAAGCUACACAGAUGGGAAAAGGAAGAAAAACCAGGAAAAUAAUGGGCAUCCCACGCUCAAACCCCACCAGGUGACCACGCCUGGAGGGGAAAGAAAAAACAUCAGCUUCCAAGAAGAAGCCAACACUACAGCUUCCAGGCCUGGCACAAUCUGGAGCUUCCAGAAAGAACUUCGAAUGAAAUUUAGAGUUUUAACUAACAACCAUGACUAGAUACUUUUAUUCUUUUUAAAAUUUAUUUUAUUGAAGUACAGUUGAUUUACAUUGUCAUGUUAAUUUAUGCUGUACAACAAAGUGAUUCAGUCACACAUAUAUAUAUACAUCCUUUUUCAUAUCUUUUGCAGUAUGAUUUAUCACAGGAUAUUAAAUAUAGUUCCCUGUUCAAUACAGAAGGACCUUGUUGUUUAUCCACUCUAUAUAUACCAGGUUGCAUUGCUAACCCCAACUGCCUACUGCGUCCUUUCCCCUAACCCCUCCCCCUUGGCAACCACCCAUCUGUUCCUCUAUGAUCUCAUGAUUCUGUUUCUGUUUCAUAGAUAAGUUCAUUUGUGUCGAACUUUAGAUUCCACAUAUAAAUGAUAUU